UACGGAGGGGUGCGAGCGUUGUCCGGAAUCACUGGGCGUAAAGGGCGCGUAGGUGGCCUGUGGAAGUCUGCGGUGAAAGCCCGGCGCUCAACGCCGGGUCGGCCGUGGAUACUCUCGGGCUCGAGCUUACUAGAGGCAGAUGGAAUUCCGGGUGUAGCGGUGGAAUGCGUAGAGAUCCGGAAGAACACCGGUGGCGGAAGGCGGUCUGCUGGGUAAUGCUGACACUGAUGCGCGACAGCGUGG
rnacentral:rRNA from 1 species